CUUUUACCUGCUUUUUGUAACAUAACAAUGAGUAAGGUCUUUUACCUGCUUUUUGUAACAUAACAAUGAGUAAGGUAUUUUACCUGCUUUUUGUAAAGUGCCUCGAGAUAACACUUGUUAUGAGUUGACGCUAUACAAAUAAAAAUUGAUUGAUUGA